AACUCUGAGCAGUGAACCACUCGACUCACGAGUCGUUGAAGAACGCAGCCAGCUGGGGGACUGAAUUGCAGCUGAAUUGCAGGACACGCUGAGCACUAAUUUUUCGAACGCGCAGUGCCGUCUCGGGUGAUACCCGAUACCUCGCCUGUCUGAGGAUCA
rnacentral:rRNA from 1 species